rnacentral:rRNA from 1 species
GGAUCAGUAGGUUGGUCGUGCCACCGGUACGUACUGGUCUCACUGAUUCCUCCUUCCUGAAGAACCGUAAUGCCAUUAAUUUGGUGUUGCGGGGAAACAGGACUGUUACUUUGAAGAAAUUAGAGUGUUUAAAGCAAGCUAACGCUUGAAUACAUUAGCAUGGAAUAAUGAAAUAGGACGAUCGAUCCUAUUUUGUUGGUUUCUAGGAUUGACGUA